UGUUGGAUCAGAAUCUUAUUCAAGUUACAAGGGAUAGAAAUGAAGAUGAGCAUGAGGUGAACAUCAUAAUUCCUCGUUUUAAUCUCCCAAAACUAGUUGUGAUUGCAUAUGAUGAUCAGAAGACCGAUGUUUCUCCGUUAGUAAUUCGUUUGGCGGGUCCUAAGCCUUACGAGUCUGAUAAAGUUGUGCCUUACUGUUGUAC
rnacentral:lncRNA from 1 species